rnacentral:rRNA from 1 species
AGAGUUUGAUCCUGGCUCAGGAUGAACGCUGGCGGCGUGCCUAAUACAUGCAAGUCGAGCGAACGGACGAGAAGCUUGCUUCUCUGAUGUUAGCGGCGGACGGGUGAGUAACACGUGGAUAACCUACCUAUAAGACUGGGAUAACUUCGGGAAACCGGAGCUAAUACCGGAUAAUAUUUUGAACCGCAUGGUUCAAAAGUGAAAGACGGUCUUGCUGUCACUUAUAGAUGGAUCCGCGCUGCAUUAGCUAGUUGGUAAGGUAACGGCUUACCAAGGCAACGAUGCAUAGCCGACCUGAGAGGGUGAUCGGCCACACUGGAACUGAGACACGGUCCAGACUCCUACGGGAGGCAGCAGUAGGGAAUCUUCCGCAAUGGGCGAAAGCCUGACGGAGCAACGCCGCGUGAGUGAUGAAGGUCUUCGGAUCGUAAAACUCUGUUAUUAGGGAAGAACAUAUGUGUAAGUAACUGUGCACAUCUUGACGGUACCUAAUCAGAAAGCCACGGCUAACUACGUGCCAGCAGCCGCGGUAAUACGUAGGUGGCAAGCGUUAUCCGGAAUUAUUGGGCGUAAAGCGCGCGUAGGCGGUUUUUUAAGUCUGAUGUGAAAGCCCACGGCUCAACCGUGGAGGGUCAUUGGAAACUGGAAAACUUGAGUGCAGAAGAGGAAAGUGGAAUUCCAUGUGUAGCGGUGAAAUGCGCAGAGAUAUGGAGGAACACCAGUGGCGAAGGCGACUUUCUGGUCUGUAACUGACGCUGAUGUGCGAAAGCGUGGGGAUCAAACAGGAUUAGAUACCCUGGUAGUCCACGCCGUAAACGAUGAGUGCUAAGUGUUAGGGGGUUUCCGCCCCUUAGUGCUGCAGCUAACGCAUUAAGCACUCCGCCUGGGGAGUACGACCGCAAGGUUGAAACUCAAAGGAAUUGACGGGGACCCGCACAAGCGGUGGAGCAUGUGGUUUAAUUCGAAGCAACGCGAAGAACCUUACCAAAUCUUGACAUCCUUUGACAACUCUAGAGAUAGAGCCUUCCCCUUCGGGGGACAAAGUGACAGGUGGUGCAUGGUUGUCGUCAGCUCGUGUCGUGAGAUGUUGGGUUAAGUCCCGCAACGAGCGCAACCCUUAAGCUUAGUUACCAUCAUUAAGUUGGGCACUCUAAGUUGACUGCCGGUGACAAACCGGAGGAAGGUGGGGAUGACGUCAAAUCAUCAUGCCCCUUAUGAUUUGGGCUACACACGUGCUACAAUGGACAAUACAAAGGGCAGCGAAACCGCGAGGUCAAGCAAAUCCCAUAAAGUUGUUCUCAGUUCGGAUUGUAGUCUGCAACUCGACUACAUGAAGCUGGAAUCGCUAGUAAUCGUAGAUCAGCAUGCUACGGUGAAUACGUUCCCGGGUCUUGUACACACCGCCCGUCACACCACGAGAGUUUGUAACACCCGAAGCCGGUGGAGUAACCUUUUAGGAGCUAGCCGUCGAAGGUGGGACAAAUGAUUGGGGUGAAGUCGUAACAAGGUAGCCGUAUCGGAAGGUGCGGCUGGAUCACCU